CCUACGGGGGGCUGCAGUGGGGAAUAUUGCACAAUGGGCGAAAGCCUGAUGCAGCGACGCCGCGUGAGGGAGGAAGGCCUUCGGGUUGUAAACCUCUUUCAGCAGGGAAGAAGCGCAAGUGACGGUACCUGCAGAAGAAGCACCGGCUAACUACGUGCCAGCAGCCGCGGUAAUACGUAGGGUGCAAGCGUUGUCCGGAAUUAUUGGGCGUAAAGAGCUCGUAGGCGGUUUGUCGCGUCUGCUGUGAAAAUUCGGGGCUUAACCCCGGACUUGCA
rnacentral:rRNA from 1 species